GACAGAGGCCUCGAGCGUUAGGCGGAAUCACUGGGCUUAAAGCGUGUGUAGGCGGGCCCGUAAGUGUCUUGUGAAAUCCCACGGCUCAACCGUGGAACUGCUGGGCAUACUGCGGGUCUUGGGCCAACUAGGGGCAGCCGGAACAAGCGGUGGAGCGGUGAAAUGCGUAGAUAUCAGGAGGAACACCGGUGGCGAAGGCGGGUCUCUGGGAAGUAACUGACGCUGAGACGCGAAAGCGUGGGGAGCGAACAGG
rnacentral:rRNA from 1 species